rnacentral:rRNA from 1 species
AUUGAACGCUAGCGGGAUGCUUUACACAUGCAAGUCGAACGGCAGCGCGGACUUCGGUCUGGCGGCGAGUGGCGAACGGGUGAGUAAUGUAUCGGAACGUGCCCAGUAUCGGGGGAUAACUACGCGAAAGCGUAGCUAAUACCGCAUACGCCCUACGGGGGAAAGCAGGGGAUCGUAAGACCUUGCACUAUUGGAGCGGCCGAUAUCGGAUUAGCUAGUUGGUGAGGUAACGGCUCACCAAGGCGACGAUCCGUAGCUGGUUUGAGAGGACGACCAGCCACACUGGGACUGAGACACGGCCCAGACUCCUACGGGAGGCAGCAGUGGGGAAUUUUGGACAAUGGGGGCAACCCUGAUCCAGCCAUCCCGCGUGUGCGAUGAAGGCCUUCGGGUUGUAAAGCACUUUUGGCAGGAAAGAAACGUCGCGGGCUAAUACCCCGUGGAACUGACGGUACCUGCAGAAUAAGCACCGGCUAACUACGUG